rnacentral:rRNA from 1 species
UACGUAGGGCGCGAGCGUUGUCCGGAAUCAUUGGGCGUAAAGAGCUCGUAGGCGGCCGGUUGCGUCUGCUGUGAAAUCCCGGGGCUUAACCCCGGGCGUGCAGUGGAUACGGGCUGGCUGGAGGCAGGCAGGGGAGACUGGAAUUCCUGGUGUAGCGGUGGAAUGCGCAGAUAUCAGGAGGAACACCGGUGGCGAAGGCGGCAUCCUGGACCGACAUUGACGCUGAGGAGCGAAAGCCAGGGGAGCAAACGGG